rnacentral:tRNA from 4 species
GGACAGGUAGCUCAGUUGGUAGAGCAAUGGACUGAAAAUCCAUGUGUCGGCGGUUCAAUUCCGUCCCUGUCCA